AGAGUUUGAUCAUGGCUCAGAUUGAACGCUGGCGGCAGGCUUAACACAUGCAAGUCGAACGGUAACAUAAAGAAGCUUGCUUCUUUGAUGACGAGUGGCGGACGGGUGAGUAAUGCUUGGGAAUCUAGCUUAUGGAGGGGGAUAACUACGGGAAACUGUAGCUAAUACCGCGUAAUAUCGGAAGAUUAAAGGGUGGGACUUUCGGGCCACCUGCCAUAAGAUGAGCCCAAGUGGGAUUAGGUAGUUGGUUAGGUAAAGGCUGACCAAGCCGACGAUCUCUAGCUGGUCUGAGAGGAUGACCAGCCACACUGGAACUGAGACACGGUCCAGACUCCUACGGGAGGCAGCAGUGGGGAAUAUUGCACAAUGGGGGGAACCCUGAUGCAGCCAUGCCGCGUGAAUGAAGAAGGCCUUCGGGUUGUAAAGUUCUUUCGGUGACGAGGAAGGUUGAUAGGUUAAUAGCGUAUCAAAUUGACGUUAAUCACAGAAGAAGCACCGGCUAACUCCGUGCCAGCAGCCGCGGUAAUACGGGGGGUGCGAGCGUUAAUCGGAAUAACUGGGCGUAAAGGGCACGCAGGCGGUGACUUAAGUGAGGUGUGAAAGCCCCGGGCUUAACCUGGGAAUUGCAUUUCAUACUGGGUCGCUAGAGUACUUUAGGGAGGGGUAGAAUUCCACGUGUAGCGGUGAAAUGCGUAGAGAUGUGGAGGAAUACCGAAGGCGAAGGCAGCCCCUUGGGAAUGUACUGACGCUCAUGUGCGAAAGCGUGGGGAGCAAACAGGAUUAGAUACCCUGGUAGUCCACGCUGUAAACGAUGUCGAUUUGGGGGUUGAACUUUGAGCUUGGCGCCCGUAGCUAACGUGAUAAAUCGACCGCCUGGGGAGUACGGCCGCAAGGUUAAAACUCAAAUGAAUUGACG
rnacentral:rRNA from 1 species